rnacentral:rRNA from 1 species
GACGAACGCUGGCGGCGUGCCUAAUACAUGCAAGUCGAACGAGGUCCAUGGGAGCUUGCUCCCGGACGACCGAGUGGCGAACGGGUGAGUAACACGUGGGGAACCUGCCCUGGAGUGGGGAAUAACUCGGGGAAACUCGAGCUAAUACCGCAUACCCUCGGAUGAUCGCAUGGUCGACCGAGGAAAGUUUUUCGCUCUAGGAGGGCCUCGCGGCCUAUCAGCUUGUUGGUGGGGUAACGGCCUACCAAGGCAGCGACGGGUAGCUGGUUUGAGAGAACGGGCCGCAGCACUGGGACUGAGACACGGCCCAGACUCCUACGGGAGGCAGCGGUAGCGAAUCUUGCGCAAUGGGCGAAAGCCUGACGCAGCAACGCCGCGUGCGGGAUGACGGCCUUCGUGGUUGUAAACCGCUUUCAGCAGGGACGAAGAUGACGGUACCUGCAGAAGAAGCCCCGGCUAACUACGUGCCAGCAGCCGCAGUAACAC